rnacentral:lncRNA from 1 species
CUCCCUCUCCCCUCUCCUCCCUCCACCCCUCCCCCGACACUCUCGGUCUCUCUGUCUAAAAUAAACCGAGGUGGUCCCUGGUCUGGGCGUCCUAGGACGUGUCUGAACACCCCGCGGAGGAAGAAGACAGCACCAGCCACUGCUGGCACGGGGCUGCAGCCCCUGGCUACACACACCUCCGAAAGACAGCGGCGACUUCGGACACCUCUCUCCCGCCCCAGCCUGACUCCCCAGGGGCGGUGUGAAACCACAAGUGAUAAUAUCUCCCAUCGCCAGCUUUGAACUUCAGAUAGAAGGAGACCUUAUGGCAGUUGGACUAUCUGAGAGCAACCGCGAGAAGCAGCGGGAGGCUUCUGGGCGGUGCAGCGGCCGCGGCGGAUUGGAUCAAGCAAAGCGCGGAAUCCGUGAACUGGCCGCGGCCCCGAGGGCGCAGCUCCUGGACCGAGCGGCGCUAUCCUGCCCCAUGGACGCCUCCUCUAGCCCGUGGAAUCCAACCCCGGCUCCUGUCAGCAGCCCCUCCCUGCUGCUCCCCAUCCCCGCCGUCGUCAUCAUUGCUGUGGGCAUCUAUUUGUUGCUGCUGGGCCUGGUGCUGCUGACUAGGCACUGCCUACUCAGCGCUGCUGCACAGACUGCAGCCCCCCCUGCAGGAAGCAAGGCGCCUCUAGACCCCAAGACUGUUGCUGGACCUGUGCAGAAGCCUGCAACUUCCCUCUGCCUAGCCCAGCCCACUACCUGGAUGCCUGCUGCCCGCAGCCCACUGAAGCUGUGAGUUCUCGUGCUGGCCCCUGGCCCCUGAGCCCUGAUUGAGGUACUAUCCGUGCAUUCAUUUUUGGUUCAACAAAAUUUAUUACUGAGCACCUAUUCUAGGCCAGGCACAGUUCCAGGUACUGGCUCAGGUGGAGACAGCCAAAAACAACGUAAAAAACAGCUCAGAUACUUUUCUGGCAAUGAAAGCUACUUGUAGAAAAGAAAGUAGGGAAGCAGCUGGAGAAAGGUAAUGGGUAACGUGUAGGGCACAUGAGCACUUCUGAAAGUGGUAGUUAAAAGAAAAAACAGAGCCCCUCCAGAGCUCCUCCUGUUCACCAAGUGAAUACGGUAUUCUGGAUACUGUGCUACUGACAGGGUCAGAUAAUGACCUUGAGAACUGGGCAUUUUAAAAAACUGUGUGUGCUUGUGUGUGUGUGUACAUAUACACAUAUAUGCAUAUACACAUAUAUGUGUG